rnacentral:lncRNA from 1 species
CGGCAAUGUGCACUCAUAUCGUUGAAGGGAUCUCGAGUGACUGUUUAUUUCUUCGAAGGAGCGCAUGAUGGCAAAAAGUGCAACCUUGCUUUUGAUUUUAUCUCUGGUUGUCUCCUUGGCCAUAGCAAAGCCUAGAAGACGUCUCGAGGAUACAGUCCAAGAGCGGGAUGGCAGUGGCGACGGUAGUCCCCAUGAAUAUGAUGACGAAGAAACGUCCGAUGGAAAUGGGGGCCCACAGGAACCACCUAGACUGCCAGAUCCUACUUCCGGUAGUAAUGGUGGAUUUGAGCCAAUCCCGGUUGAUGAAUAGAUAACUGAGCAUCAAGAAAAAAGGGGAUGCGCUGCUACUUCGUGAAACUAUGUCUCCCUCAACCAUGUUUGAUAUUGAAUAAAAAUACCAGAAUGGUAUCGA